UGAGUAGCUGCGAGCGAAACGGGAAGAGCUCAGCACGCAGGGGCGAUGCACUGGUGUAUCUGCCCGGUUCCGUGUACUGGAGAGUUCGUUAUCUGCCGUAACCGGUCGCUGGUUCAAGUUCAACUAGAAUGUGGCUUUUACUCCCAGAGAGGGUGAUAGGCCCGUAGAGCGGCGCACCGAUGGUAGAAGAUCUUUCCAUGGAGUCGUGUUGCUUGAUAGUGCAGCACAAAGUGGGAGGUAAACUCCUUCUAAAGCUAAAUAUCACCACGAGACCGAUAGCGAACAAGUACCGUGAGGGAAAGUUGAAAAGCACUCUGAAUAGAGAGUCAAAAAGUACGUGAAACUGCCUAGGGCUCAAGCCCGUUGAACUCGAUUAUCCGAGCGGAGACAUUCACCUGCGGUUGGCCGGCGACGGCACGGCCGCAGGGCACUUGUCUCUCGCACUAGCCAAGAGGACACUGCGAUCCAUUACGAAACAGCUUUCGCGCCGCAAGGCGCAAGGUCGCCCGACAACUGCCCCCUGGUGCUGGUUGCUUGCCCCACAGUAGCGACGCUCAGUUCUGAAGGCCUGUGCCGCGAGGUGGGGCUUACUGCACGUGGUGUUCUAGCAGUCGGGCGCGUGAUGGAUUCCCCCGGACACCGGGUGGUCUUCCCGUAAGGGGCCACCGGACUGUCGAUCGGCAGUGAAAGAAUCGAGGUACCUUCGG
rnacentral:rRNA from 1 species